rnacentral:ncRNA from 1 species
CACCGUAGGUGCUUCGUAAAAGAAGGUAAAAGGGAACCGGGUGCAAAUCCCGGACAGCCCCCGCUACUGUCAGGUGCUUAUGCCGAGGCCAUUAUGUCAUUCCGUUAAGGGAGAAGGCGGCGUCGGAUACCGGGCCCGAGUCAGGAAACCUGCCUAUGAGUUUU